rnacentral:rRNA from 1 species
CGAGGACGAACGCUGGCGGCGUGCCUAACACAUGCAAGUCGAGCGGGGUUAACAAGAGGAAGUUUCGGAUGGAAUUUGUUAAUUAGCGGCGGACGGGUGAGUAACGCGUGAGCGACCAACCUUGCACAGGGGGAUAACGGACCGAAAGGUUCACUAAUACCGCAUGAGACCACGGUGUUGCAUGACACAGAGGUCAAAGGAGCAAUCCGGUGCAAGACGGGCUUGCGUCCGAUUAGGUAGUUGGUGGGGUAAUGGCCCACCAAGCCUAUGAUCGGUAGCCGACCUGAGAGGGUGAUCGGCCACAUUGGAACUGAGAUACGGUCCAAACUCCUACGGGAGGCAGCAGUGGGGAAUAUUGGGCAAUGGGGGGAAAAACCCCCUGACCCAGCAACGCCGCGUGAAGGAAGAAGGUUUUCGGAUUGUAAACUUCUGUCCUUGGUGAAGAGAAGAAGACGGUAGCCAAGGAGGAAGCCCCGGCUAACUACGUGCCAGCCGCAGC